GGAGAGGUCAAGAGUUCGAGACCAGCCUUGCCAACGUGGUGAAACCCUCUCUAGUAAAAAUACAAAAAUUGAUUUGGCUAUCUGGCUGGCUAGACGGGUGUCCCCUUACUCCCUCAAUGCUCCGUGUCCCUCCUGACCCUCCCGAAGCUGUGCAGUGUGUCAAAGAGGACAACCAUCACCAAUAGAGGACCGGUCUUCCUUUUAAGGGUAUAUGUGUAGCUGGGUUUCCAUUAAAACCUCCAAUCUCUCAAAAAUGCAAAUUAUCAGUACUCAUCCCAAACAGGAAAUUAGAAAACCUGGCAGGGAGCCGCAAUGCUUU
rnacentral:sRNA from 1 species